GAUAGGUCGGGUGUGGAAGCACCGUAAUGUGUGUAGCUAACUGAUACUAAUAGCUCGAUUGAUUUACUUUGCUGUGAGAUUACAUAUGCAUAUAGUGUUAAUUCUAUAAAAAUGUAGUAUCAACUCACAAAGUUAUCAGGUUAAAUUAGCUUUAUCGAUGAAUAAAAAUGUUGUUGCAUGACUAAACUUGUCAUUCCUGCGAAAGCAGGAAUCCAGAUAUUAUAAAUCUUUCUGGAUACCGUGGUCAAGCCACGAUAUGACAUUAACCAUGCAGCAACAUUAACAGCAAACUAUAAUACAAAUCUGUUUUUUAAAAGUUUGUAUUGCUAGCUUGGUGGUUAUAGCAUGAGUGAAACACACGAUCCCGUCCCGAA
rnacentral:misc_RNA from 1 species